AUGCUCCUCAGACAAGUCGAGCAGCAUCUUAGCAGCCCUAACGACCUCGCCCUGCAGCGCUGGCCCCGCCCUCACCACUUCCUGACUCUGUGCAGGCAAAAAGAAACUCCGGCGCCGCUGCACUGCCUAUGCUUUGGGUUCCGGUCUCUGGCGGUCCCACGAGCACUAAACAGCAUACCUCACACCUAAGAGCGGAGCUCACACCAUAGAAAUGGAGAGGGCAGUAGGACGCCGCACAGCAGCCCAGAAAGACUAAACAGAUCCUGGAAAAGCUACGUGGAAAGUGGGCCGAAACAGAUGGCUUGAAAUUAAAGAGAAAAAUAUUGAGAAAUGAGAACCAGAAUGCAGUUUGCCUGAAACCUGCCUCAGUCAAUGUGCCUUUGCACGUUUAAAGAGAAAACAUUACCUUGCCACCGCUAAGCAGUAGAUGGCAUUCUCCCUUGGAGUCCUCCCACUGUGCUCUGAGAAAGAUGUGAAGAAGGACCUCAGCAAGCAGUCAGCUCCAGCAGGCGCAGUUUUAUUUCGCUGGUUUUCUUUUUGGUGGCUUUGUAGUUCUGAGGACAUGUUUGGUACUAAGGAUGGGAAUGUGAUUUGUUUUCUCGUGUCCCUUUGUGAAAUUACUGAAGAAUCC